GUCCACGCCGUAAACGAUGGAUACUAGCUGUUGGGGGCAACUUCAGUGGCUAAGCGAAAGUGAUAAGUAUCCCACCUGGGGAGUACGUUCGCAAGAAUGAAACUCAAAGGAAUUGACGGGGGCCCGCACAAGCGGUGGAGCAUGUGGUUUAAUUCGAUGAUACGCGAGGAACCUUACCAAGGCUUAAAUGCAAUUUGACAGAACUAGAAAUAGUUUUUUCUUCGGACAGAAUGCAAGGUGCUGCAUGGUUGUCGU
rnacentral:rRNA from 1 species